UCAAACUUGGUCAUUUAGAGGAAGUAAAAGUCGUAACAAGGUUUCCGUAGGUGAACCUGCGGAAGGAUCAUUGCAAAUCAGCGGAGAUGGUGUGAGUGGGUGUUUGGUUGGUCAUUGAUUGAUCAUUGCUCAUUCAUAUUCCAUUUCCAUAUAUGCACAGUGUGUUUGAGUGUGGGUUACUUGCUAAUUCUCAUUCGCCACGCUGAUGUUUACGCUUGUUUGUUUGACAAAUCAUAUUUUCACAAAUUAAUCAAAACUUUUAACAACGGAUCUCUUGGCUCUUGCAUCGAUGAAGAACGCAGC
rnacentral:misc_RNA from 1 species